GGCGAGCGGGCUGGGGGUCAGGGGGUAGGGAGCAUCACCCAGGGUCUCCUGGCUGCCGGUCUCCCAGAGUCCCCAGCUUUCCAGGUAGGGACGCCCCCUCCCACGCAGCGCGGCUCGCUCGGGUGGGAAGGAGGGGCUGGGCUCCGAGCGCCCGCCCCUCCAUCUAUCACAUGGCCGGAGAGCCACAAAAACAACAGCUUUGGCCAAGACGGUGACUUCAGGAAAGGGAACCCAGGGCUCUCGCAGCCAGCCCCCACCCCAUGGAGGAGAGUUUUCUUGAAUCCUUUGGGAGGCUGAGCCUCCAGCAGCAGCAGAAACCUCGGCCCCCGGCCCCGCCACCCCCGCGUGGGACACCUCCGCGGCGCCACAGCUUUAGGAAACACCUCUACCUCCUGCGAGGCCUCCCGGGCUCGGGGAAAACUACACUGGCCAGACAAUUGCAACACGACUUUCCCAGGGCCCUGAUUUUCAGCACGGAUGACUAUUUCUUCAGGGAAGACGGUGCCUAUGAGUUCAAUCCAGACUUCCUGGAGGAAGCGCAUGAGUGGAACCAGAAAAGAGCCAGAAAAGCAAUGAGGAAUGGCAUAUCCCCCAUUAUUAUUGAUAAUACCAACCUCCACGCCUGGGAAAUGAAGCCCUAUGCAGUCAUGGCACUUGAAAAUAACUAUGAAGUUAUAUUCCGAGAACCUGACACUCGCUGGAAAUUCAACGUUCAAGAGUUAGCAAGAAGAAACAUUCAUGGAGUCCCCAGAGAAAAAAUACACCGAAUGAAGGAGCGGUAUGAACACGAUGUUACCUUUCACAGCGUGCUUCAUGCAGAAAAGCCUGGCAGAAUGAACAGAAACCAGGACAGGAAUAACGCCUCACCUUCCAACGGCGCACGAUACUGGAAUCCGUACGCUGAGUUUCCCAACCGGAGGGCUCCUGGGGGCUUCACAAAUGAGGGCUCCUUUAACAGAAGAGGUGGCUGUCACCAUGGAUAUUAGAGGCCUAUCUUACAUGCAAUCGAAAUUUUCCUAAAUCAGUUUUUAACUGCAAAUUUUGGUAUUUAUUCUUUGUUCGGUUUUCCUCAGAGCUCUAAUUCCAGUGUAAAUAGUCGGACCUGAAAGUUUUUGAGCAGAAGUCAUUAUACUCAUCUUCAACAAGCAUUUGUUACAGUGAUCCUAUAUGCAUGGUCUGAUGCUGGGAAUUCUGCUGACUUGAUUAAACAAAGUCCCUUUCCCUAGGGAGACCAGAAAUUGGAAACAGAAACCUGAGAACGUACCCAUGCACAUACGCAGUCACCUAAGUUCGACAUAUAGAAGCUUUAGUACCACUUUCUCUGAAGUAAUCUACUUUUCCAGGAAAUUCAUCUUCAUCAGGAAAGUUGGAAAGGUGGGGGAGAAGUGGGAGGCAGGAAAAAUGUUAGUGCCAUUGCUACUUUGAUAAUCUAUGUAUCCCAAAAUGUGAGAUGUGUGGCUGUCAUGAUGAUACUGAUUUUCCCUUAAAAUGCACAUGCCAGAGAGCAUACAUCUAAGGGAAUAUUGUCCUUCAAAGUAGAUACUUGGGGAAAUUAUCCCUUUAUUCUAGUGAUGUGUCAUUGUUAAAAAUAUUGGAUCCUUCUUUUAAAAUUUUUUUUUAGAGACAGAGAGUGAGAGAGCCAGGGAGGGGCAGAGGGAGAGGGAGAGAGUGUCUUAACAUGCUCCUUGCUCAGCAUGGAGCCCACUGUGGGGCUCAAUCUCAUGACCCUGAGAUAUGACCUGAGCUGAAAUCAAGAGUUGGGUGCCCUACCGUCUGAACCACGCAGGAGCCCCUGUCAGAUCCUUAACAGCUGUACAAGGUGUUUCAUAUUUGGUGCCACAAGCCCGUGGUGGCUGAAAUGCCUUCUGUGCAGCUGGAGAAACAAAUGUACAGAUGGGACUGACAGGUGGAGGGAAUAUAAAUCUGAUGACGGACGCCAGAUACUCAAUGUAACUAGAUAAAGAGGAAAAAGACAUAAUGGAAGAACUGAUAAGCAUUACAAUUCUUGUAAAACAAAUACCAUAACAACAAAGAUCCAAGGAUUAUACCAUUGCUUUAAUCGCAAAUGUACUGCACUGGUCUGGCACAUCACAGAGGACCCCAGAAAUGUACACACCCUCUUUGAAAAACACACUAUUUCAAUGCAGUACUUGCCCUGAUGGCCAGAAGACCAACCAGAGCUUCCCACUGUAAAGGAGGAAGAUUAAGCCUCCCAGGAUGCCCUCUUACUCUCCCACCUCCAGAUAAGCCGGGUCUGGUGCAUUCGUCACUGCUUCAUAAAGCUCUGCACCAUCUUGCAGAGCACAGACUUGCUGUCUUGUUAAUGCGCAUGAUGGUCUACAUUGUUUCGAUAUAUUCUCUAGGAAAAAAAGCAUCAUUAAUAAGCCAUAACACAAAUUUAUGAACCUUGAAAGCUAGAGAAACAAGCAAAAAGUAGCCAAAGAAGGGAGGCUAAAAAGCAAAACACAAUUUAUCUGCUACAAGUUUUCUAGGAAAAUUUCAAACUAGUGCACUCACUCCUGGUUUAAAAAAUUGUCACACAGAGAGCUUAGAGUGAUUUGUAAAUUAAGCAAAUGAUUUCAUGAUUUUUCUUCAUCAUGAAAACAGCAUAAGCCGGUGAAUCGAACACUGAGAGUCCAAUUUUUCUACAGAUUUAUAUAGAACAGGAAGUUGAAAAUCAUGAAGAAAUGCAGAACACAAAAAUUUCGGCAAAAA